UACAGAGGUCUCAAGCGUUGUUCGGAUUCAUUGGGCGUAAAGGGUGCGUAGGCGGCGCGAUAAGUCGGGUGUGAAAUCUCGGGGCUUAACUCCGAAACUGCAUUCGAUACUGCCGUGCUUGAGGACUGGAGAGGAGACUGGAAUUUACGGUGUAGCGGUGAAAUGCGUAGAUAUCGGAAGGAACACCAGUGGCGAAAGCGGCUUCCUGGUCCAGCACCGACGUUCAGGCACGAAAGCGUGGGGAGCAAACAGG
rnacentral:rRNA from 1 species